rfam:Cricetulus griseus cell line CHO-K1, whole genome shotgun sequence.
UGGUGCCCAAUGUGUGCGGCCCAGGUACGAGGGCUUCAGUGAAGAACGUCGCAGAGAAGAGCCGGCCACAUCGACAAAAGAGACAGAACAGAGGAAGUGGUUAGACUGGAGCCAGGGGCCACAAGGAGACCUCGGUAAGUGAGCGACAAUUAUGGGACACGACAUGAGCCAACAUGAGCUAUUUGUUGAAGUAGCACUCAACAAACUCAAAAAGGCACUUAAGGCGUGAGGGGUUAAGCUUGAGGCACAAGAAUUAUUGAAAUUUUUAUAUUUAUUAAGGAAGUUUGUCCUU